rnacentral:rRNA from 1 species
UCCCUACGGGAGGCAGCAGUGAGGAAUAUUGGUCAAUGGGCUUACGCCUGAACCAGCCAAGUCGCGUGAGGGAAGACGGUCCUAUGGAUUGUAAACCUCUUUUGCCGGGGAGCAAAAAGCGGUACGUGUACCGCAUCGAGAGUACCCGGAGAAAAAGCAUCGGCUAACUCCGUGCCAGCAGCCGCGGUAAUACGGAGGAUGCGAGCGUUAUCCGGAUUUAUUGGGUUUAAAGGGUGCGCAGGCGGCGAGUUAAGUCAGCGGUAAAAUUGCGGGGCUCAACCCCGUCGAGCCGUUGAAACUGGCAG